CCUACGGGAGGCAGCAGUGGGGAAUUUUGGACAAUGGGCGCAAGCCUGAUCCAGCAAUGCCGCGUGAGUGAAGAAGGCCUUCGGGUUGUAAAGCUCUUUUGUCAGGGAAGAAACGGUGGUUCCUAAUACGGACUACUAAUGACGGUACCUGAAGAAUAAGCACCAGCUAACUACGUGCCAGCAGCCGCGGUAAUACGUAGGGUGCAAGCGUUAAUCGGAAUUACUGGGCGUAAAGCGUGCGCAGGCGGUUAUAUAAGUCAGAUGUGAAAUCCCCGGGCUCAACCUGGGAACUGCAUUUGAGACUGUAUGGCUAGAGUGUGUCAGAGGGGGGUAGAAUUCCACGUGUAGCAGUGGAAUGCGUAGAUAUGUGGAGGAAUACCGAUGGCGAAGGCAGCCCCCUGGGAUAACACUGACGCUCACGCACGAAAGCGUGGGGAGCAAACAGGAUUAGAUACCCUGGUAGUCCACGCCCUAAACGAUGUCUACUAGUUGUCGGGACUUAAUUGUCUUGGUAACGCAGCUAACGCGUGAAGUAGACCGCCUGGGGAUCGGCGCAAGNUUAAAACNAAANGAGUAGNGNGNGAGAGNGCGAGACGACGACGAGGGAGGAGG
rnacentral:rRNA from 1 species